rnacentral:rRNA from 1 species
AUCGCCCGUCGCUUUCAUUGAAAAUUAAAUUGAAAUAAGUCGUAACAUAGUGGGUGUACCGGAAGGUGUGCCUA